GUCUCAGCGUGCCCCCAAUCCCCCAUCUCAUCUCUCUUUCACACCACAUAUCCCCCCAGCCAAACCUAAGCCACAUGCCGCCGCCGGCCCCGAUUUGCUUGCCCCGCCGCCGUAUGCUCCGUCCUCUACAUGUCUGGCGCCACCACCGCCCCAGACUCCGACCUGCUUCGUGUCGCCACGGCGUCCGGCCCUGACCAGCUUCGCGCCCCCACAUCUGCAGACUACGACUUGCCUCACGCCGCCACUGCCUCCGGCCCAGAUCUGCCUCCCGUCGCCACGGCCUCCAAGGGGAGGUACUCUACAGUAUGAGGGGCCUCCCCACAACCUGCAGAUCGAGGAGUCGACCUGUCAUACGCUGCCGAGGAGGCGCCCCAGUGCCCCUCUUCCACAACGGCGACGACUCCCCUACCCCUCUGUCCUACCCCGUUUGCAAAUCUGGCUACUGUAGGUAAACAUCGUUGAUUUUUUCCCCCAAAACUGUGAUUGCCCAUUAGAUCUAUCUAGUUCGAGCAAGUUUACGUUGGUUUGUUUGAGUUUGGGUAAUUUUAGGGUGGUUUAGGAACAACUUAGGCUUGUACGGACUGUGGAAGGGAGCGCAGGUGCCGGCCUAGUUCAUGGCGGAGGUAAUCUAGUUCGUGAAUGUACAAAGCAACGACCUUGACAGUUGUCUAAUCAACAAUUUCACAUGGCAAAAGCUGACGGAAACAGGUGAAGAAAGUGAGGUCCUUAUAUACGAUGAUGGCUUGCCAAGUUGUAGAAAAUAAGGUCUGAGGAGUGAGGGGAGAGCUCUUAUGGAACCGAAAAAGAAUACAUGAAUAGGAGGAGAUACAAGGGCCUCUGGGAAAGUACGUGGGUCAUCACGGCCAGCCAAGAAAAACUAAACUAUUGUGUACUUGCAGUUGUUUACAUUCAACACUUUCUCAUUAUAUAUACCAUCUGUUUCACACAUAUUUAUGCUUUUUUUUCAGUCAAAGAACAGCAUAAGUGAAGCUAUAAAUGAAGGAUGUAACUCAUAGGAGUUUUGCUCGUGUCAGUAAUUGAACUGUAAACUUUUAGAGAAUGCUAAUUCUCAGAUGUUUGUCUCUUCCUUUUUACUUAUUUAGAAGACCUUGUAUAUAGCAGUAUUAGCUCUGUACAAGCUACUAAGCGAUAUAGAAAGUUGAAGUUGAAAUUUAUAAACCUGACCAUUGGAACCACAUUAGUACAACAUAUAUAUAUAUUCAAGCUUGAGGUUAUUUUAUUGGAACUGACCAUUAGAGUGUUGAAGUUACCCUAGUGGAACUGGCAAUGAGAAGAUAGUAGCAAUUGCUUGGACAUGCCAAAUGCCUAACAUUUUGGCUCUACUUUACAGAAACAUUUUACUGAUCCUUUAAACUGAAAAGUUGAGUGUUUGUUUUCCAGAUAUUAUAUGUUGUGCUUUUUGCUGCAGCGCAUGAGUGUCAUUCUAAAAGAUGGUACAUGCAUCCUAGAAAACGACCGUCUUGUUAGUCUUGGGAAAAUAUUGUUAUACUACAGUACCAAUGCAUGACAUCUAAAUUUUGUUGGCGAUGUGCAAAUGUGUUAGAUAAUUUAUUGUCGGGCUUCUUGUCUAUCCUUGCAUUUUAUAUGUGCAUAGCAGCACCUCCAUUAUCAUGCAAAAUAGUAUCAAGUUCAGAGACUUGAUCAUGGCAACUAGCAGAAAUGUAUGAUUUAAUACGCAAGCAAAUUCUUGUGAGAAAUUACACCAAAGCGAAUGCUAGCUGCUAACAUAUAUCUAUUUAAUCGCUGAACAAUCUCAAUUGCAUAUCUCUGAAAAUUAAGUAAGCACCUUUCCUCACACUUAGAACUUGUGUUGGACAAAUGGCCAUAAGUGUGCUGUUCCUAGUAGCUACAAAUGGAAUCUUCCUUUCUUUUAAAGAUCAGCCACAAAAUAAAUAUUUGACCAUAAUUUUUCAGGGAAGCAUAUUUAGUUCAGUACCACCAAUCAAGGAUUACACCUAGCUCUAUUUUUUGAGAAAUAUAUAUGUUGCAGCAUAUGUUCAGUUUCAGGAUUUUAACCAUAGUAGAAUACAACAUACGCAAAUCUCUACCAUAAGCACACAAUGUUUCAUAGCAUGCAUGAGCUGCAACACAAGCAAUGUUCUCUAAAUGGAUCUUUUACGAUUAAAUGUGUUUGUUUUUGAGGAUUAAAUGGAUUUGUUUUCAUCUAAGUGCACUUCCUGCUACUACAUAUAUGACUGCUGGUACAUAUGCUUUGUUUCCAGUUAUGCAUGACUCGAUUACCAAAAGAUAUGCUCAUGAUUGUGUCUUGAGACAUUUCCAGUUUCUGCAGUAGCUGAUGGUGCCCAAGUUUUAAAUAUGCAUUUGCUUUGAACUUCUCCUAUAGAUGAACUGAGACCAUGUUGUACUUUAAUGGACUAUAGACGAACUGAGAGCGUGUAGUAAAUGGUAGGCAUGAUUUUAUUGUAGAUUGUGUGCAGAUCAUCCCAGCAAUUACUCAUAUUAGACAUCUGGUUAUAUAUGUAUUACCCGAUCUAGCUCCCAGAUGCCUAACUAGAGUGUACCUGUUAUCAUCGAGGAAAACGAGAUGCAUGUGCAAGUGCACGUCCUGCUACUACAUAUACGACUGCUAGUCUAUGUAUAUUUACAAAUGCAUAUCUGAUUAUUUGAUGGCUGAGGAACUUCAAAUGCAAAUCUCUAAAAUUACAAUAAGAACUUUAUUCGUGAUGCCUUAGGACAGAUUUGAUUGCUCUAUCAAUGAGUGCAUAAAUUUUUAUAGCAAGUCAUAUGAUACACUAGGCGCUAGCCUGACUGCGAUUGAUGUCCGUUUUGGUUCUGAUAAGGUUAUCUUUUGUAACCUGUUUGCGGUACAUCUAAUUUUUAGAUCUUUGGGACCAUGGCCACUCACAAAUUCUCAUUUUCUAAGAUUGCUCAAUCAUAUGAGUUCUUUUGCAGGACAAAUGGAAGAAAGUAGCAAGUCCACAAGUUGAUCUAAGAUAUUCCGGUGAUCACUUUUGUUCCUAACAUGGAUUUGGAAGUUGGUGUCAGCUUAGGGAUCGAAGACUUGGUCUCUUCCAUAAUUUUUGUGGCAGUGAUCAAACAUUUGGUCUCUUAGGAACUUAGGCCAUCAUAUUUUGUAAGAGGCCAUCAUAUUUUGUAAGAGGCCAUGACCGGAAUGUUGACUUGUGUAUUUCCUUGAUGACUGUAGCUAAUUUGAGUCAAGAAAACUGACAGAUCUUCUAUGUUGAAUGAAUGCAUUGAUCAAUGGUAUCUUGUGAUGAAUAGAA